rnacentral:rRNA from 1 species
CCUACGGGUGGCAGCAGUAGGGAAUAUUGCUCAAUGGGGGAAACCCUGAAGCAGCAACGCCGCGUGGAGGAUGAAGGUUUUCGGAUUGUAAACUCCUUUUGUUAGAGAAGAUAAUGACGGUAUCUAACGAAUAAGCACCGGCUAACUCCGUGCCAGCAGCCGCGGUAAUACGGAGGGUGCAAGCGUUACUCGGAAUCACUGGGCGUGAAGAGCGCGUAGGCGGGAUAGCAAUUCAGAUGUGAAAUCCUAGGGCUUAACCAUAGAACUGAAUUUGAAACUGUUAUUCUAGAGUAUGGGAGAGGAAGGUGGAAUUCGUGGGGGAGGGGGAAAAUGCGAAGAUAUAAGGAGGAAAA